AUUGAACGCUGGCGGCAGGCUUAACACAUGCAAGUCGAGCGGAGAUGAGGUGCUUGCACCUUAUCUUAGCGGCGGACGGGUGAGUAAUGCUUAGGAAUCUGCCUAUUAGUGGGGGACAACAUUCCGAAAGGAAUGCUAAUACCGCAUACGUCCUACGGGAGAAAGCAGGGGAUCUUCGGACCUUGCGCUAAUAGAUGAGCCUAAGUCGGAUUAGCUAGUUGGUGGGGUAAAGGCCUACCAAGGCGACGAUCUGUAGCGGGUCUGAGAGGAUGAUCCGCCACACCGGGACUGAGACACGGCCCAGACUCCUACGGGAGGCAGCAGUGGGGAAUAUUGGACAAUGGGGGGAACCCUGAUCCAGCCAUGCCGCGUGUGUGAAGAAGGCCUUAUGGUUGUAAAGCACUUUAAGCGAGGAGGAGGCUACUGAGACUAAUACUCUUGGAUAGUGGACGUUACUCGCAGAAUAAGCACCGGCUAACUCUGUGCCAGCAGCCGCGGUAACAC
rnacentral:rRNA from 1 species